rnacentral:lncRNA from 1 species
GGGGAUAGAGGAGAGAAAGGUGACAAAGGAGAGGAUGGGAAAAAUGGGCUAGCUGGAUUAGUGGGCCCACCUGGAGCAAAGGUAUGUCCCUCACCUGAAGACACUACUAAUUUCUAAUGAGUCAUCAUUACAGUAGACAUAUCAUUGUUUAUCCAGAGGCUACUGUUUGGAGUGUGUUUAGUGGGGGGUGUGCGUGUGUGUGUUUUAGGGUGCUUCUGCAGAAGAGGGUCAGGCUGGACUCCCCGGAGCAAGGGGGCCCCCUGGGGUCACAGGACCGAAAGGAGAGCCUGGUGCUUUAGGACCACAGGGAUCCAAAGGAGACGGGGGUAUUGCAGGUCCCCGUGGAGAUAAAGGCGACCGAGGUCCAUCUGGAGAGCAGGGACGCAAUGGCUUUCAGGUGAGUGUGUGCUGCCCUGACCAAAGUGUUGGCACACCCUGAUGCCAGGUUGUAUUACCCUCUUCAUUGUGUGAUUAUGGUUCUGCAGAGGUUGUCAAGACAUUGUUGUAGUGGUAGCUAGUAGUAACCAGGUUGUUUUUUGGUCAUUUCAGGGGACAGCAGGAGAACCUGGAAAACCGGGACAGGAUGGGAAGCCGGUGAGAGAGGGGGGGGGGGGGUGGUGCAUACUGUAGACUCAUCUAUUUUUUAAGAGACAGCUUCAAGGAGACAGAUCCCAGACAUCAAAAGAAAACACAGUUUUUAGUUCUUCAAUAGCUUGGUUGUACUGUAGUUAAGCCGAUAAUGUUGUGUUUCAGACACAGUGAUCAUAAAAUGUCCAACCAUACAGUAGGUGAGUAUGACAAUCAAUGAUGAUGUGUAAUCAGCCAUGACUAACUAGGGCCCAGAGUGUCCCUGGUCUGGAAGAACUCAGGGCCCUAGUAGUCAUAACAUGUGCAGGAAGAGGAGAAAGAUGGGUAGAAGGAGAAAGAGAACUGAAGGUGUGGAGAGGGAGAGAGAAGAUAACUCACACUUCUUAUUUCAUUCCACAAUGUUUCGGAGCAGGGUCCACAAGGGCCAGCUGGUCCUCAAGGCCGCUCAGGGAACCCUGGAGAACCUGGAAUUAGAGGAUCAACUGGUCCGAUCGGUACCAACGGGCCUCCAGGUCCACCAGGGGUCAAGGUGAGAUCAUCUUCCAUGUCAUUUCCAUGUAAAUGGACAAUAAAGUAUUUUGUAUCCUGUCUUCCAUAAUGAAUACCUA